UACGAAGGGUGCAAGCGUUACUCGGAAUUACUGGGCGUAAAGGGUGCGUAGGUGGUUUGUUAAGUCUGCUGUGAAAUCCCCGGGCUCAACCUGGGAAUGGCAGUGGAUACUGCCGGGCUUGAGUAUGGGAGAGGUGAGUGGAAUUUCCGGUGUAGCGGUGAAAUGCGUAGAUAUCGGAAGGAACACCUGUGGCGAAAGCGGCUCACUGGACCAUAACUGACGCUGAGGCACGAAAGCUAGGGGAGCAAACAGG
rnacentral:rRNA from 1 species